AUUUUCCUACGGGAGGCAGCAGUGGGGAAUAUUGCGCAAUGGGCGAAAGCCUGACGCAGCGACGCCGCGUGAGGGAUGAAGGUCCUCGGAUCGUAAACCUCUGUCAGCAGGGAAGAACGGUCACUGUGCUAAUCAGCAGUGAAUUGCCGGUACCUGCAAAGGAAGCACCGGCUAACUCCGUGCCAGCAGCCGCGGUAAUACGGUGGGUGCGAGCGUUAAUCGGAAUUACUGGGCGUAAAGCGCUCGUAGGCGGUAUGUC
rnacentral:rRNA from 1 species